rnacentral:rRNA from 1 species
AUUGAACGCUGGCGGCAGGCCUAACACAUGCAAGUCGAACGAGUGGCGGACGGGUGAGUAAUGUCUGGGAAACUGCCUGAUGGAGGGGGAUAACUACUGGACACGGUAGCUAAUACCGCAUACCCUCAGAUGUGCCCCGAUGGGAUUGGCUAGUAGGUGGGGUAACGGCUCACCUAGGCGACGCUCCCUAGCUGGUCUGCGAGGAUGACCAGCCACACUGGAACUGAGACACGGUCCAGACGCCUACGGGAGGGAGCAGUGGGGAAUAUUGCACAAUGGGCGCAAGCCGGAUGCAGCCAUGCCGCGUGUAUGAAGAAGGCCUUCGGGUUGUAAAGUACUUUCAGCGGGGGGGCGUUACCCGCAGAAGAAGCACCGGCUAACUCCGUGCCAGCAGCCGCGGUAAUAC